rnacentral:misc_RNA from 1 species
UUUAAAUAUCACUCUAAGUAAGAACUGUUAGACAAAACACUCGUAGCAUAAUUGUAUAUUUCAAUAUAUCACAGCCAUACAUUUUUAUAUUCUUUCAGGUGAUUCAGCUUACCCACAGAGGCAAACACUACUGAUGGAUGCACUGACUUUUGGAUGCACCUGUAGGAUCUCCAGAAGCUCGUUAUACCGCUUUACAAGUUCGAGCCCGCAACUGUAUAGAGCGGUGUUUUGGGCGACUAAAAAUCAGUUGGUAGUGUUUGUCGUCAAUGGAGAAACUGCACUACAAGCCAGCAGCGGCAGCUAAGAUCGUUAAAACGUGUUGUGUGCUUGACAAUAUAGCUAACAAAGCGAAUUGUGAACUGCCUCCGCUGAACCGACACGAAGAAAAGGAGCAGCAGCAGGAGCAGAGAUUAGCGGCGGAGUUUGACGCCCGUCAGCAGAAUGCUGAUAUUUAUUUGGCAAUGGCUCCUGACAGGUGUUGGCUAAACAAAGAGCUGCAGCUGGGUCGCGCUGCUCGUCAAGCGCUUGUCCGGCAGUUAGCAAAUUAUUGAUUCUUCAUCGGACCAAGGCCGAUUUGUCCAGGACCAAUUUUCGGAUCUCCUGGGCUUCCUGGAACAAGGACUAGUGAUUGUUUCGAGGAGCUGUCAUGGUGUUGGCUCUUGAUAUUUUAUCGUGAAACGCAGAUUUAAUGAUGAAGGCGCGUCGGAACCCAAAUGUCAAGAAUCGCCGACGU